rnacentral:misc_RNA from 1 species
GAUGAAGAACGCAGCGAAAUGCGAUAAGUAAUGUGAAUUGCAGAAUUCAGUGAAUCAUCGAAUCUUUGAACGCAUCUUGCGCUCCUUGGUAUUCCGAGGAGCAUGCCUGUUUGAGUGUCAUUCAACUUGUCAACCACUUUGGAAGUUGUUUUUCAAUGUGGCUUGGAUGUGGGGGAUUUGCAGGCUUUUCUUCUGUCUGCUCUCCUGAAAUGCAUUAGUGGUGUCUUAAAGGGUUCACAACCACAGGUGUGAUAAAUUAUCUAUGCCUUUGGUAUGAACAGAACUGUGCUGCUUCUAAAUGAAAUGAGCCCUUGCUGGCUCUUUCUUUUGAUGAAUUUGACCUCAAAUCAGGUAGGACUACCCGCUGAACUUAAGCAUAUCAAUAAGCGGAGGA